rnacentral:rRNA from 1 species
CCUACGGGAGGCAGCAGUGGGGAAUUUUGGACAAUGGGCGCAAGCCUGAUCCAGCAAUGCCGCGUGAGUGAAGAAGGCCUUCGGGUUGUAAAGCUCUUUUGUCAGGGAAGAAACGGUGGGGGCUAAUAUCUCCUACUAAUGACGGUACCUGAAGAAUAAGCACCGGCUAACUACGUGCCAGCAGCCGCGGUAAUACGUAGGGUGCAAGCGUUAAUCGGAAUUACUGGGCGUAAAGCGUGCGCAGGCGGUUUUGUAAGUCUGUCGUGAAAGCCCCGGGCUCAACCUGGGAAUUGCGAUGGAGACUGCAAGGCUUGAAUCUGGCAGAGGGGGGUAGAAUUCCACGUGUAGCAGUGAAAUGCGUAGAGAUGUGGAGGAACACCGAUGGCGAAGGCAGCCCCCUGGGUCAAGAUUGACGCUCAUGCACGAAAGCGUGGGGAGCAAACAGGAUUAGAUACCCUGGUAGUCCACGCCCUAAACGAUGUCUACUAGUUGUCGGGUUUUAAUUAACUUGGUAACGCAGCUAACGCGUGAAGUAGACCGCCUGGGGAGUACGGUCGCGAAGAGUAAACGUUACAAUAGUUAGUUAGUAGGCGNGNGAGNGCGACGGACGACGACGAGGGAGAGG